UACGGAGGAUGCAAGCGUUAUCCGGAAUGAUUGGGCGUAAAGCGUCCGCAGGUGGCUAUGUAAGUCUGCUGUUAAAGAGUGAGGCUCAACCUCAUAAGAGCAGUGGAAACUACAUGGCUAGAGUGCGUUCGGGGCAGAGGGAAUUCCUGGUGUAGCGGUGAAAUGCGUAGAGAUCAGGAAGAACACCGGUGGCGAAAGCGCUCUGCUAGGCCGCAACUGACACUCAGGGACGAAAGCUAGGGGAGCGAAUGGG
rnacentral:rRNA from 1 species